UUCUAAAAUGGAAAAAAACCAGGAGAGUUUUUAUUUAACCAGAAGACCAGGAGAAACAAACAAAAUCCGGUAGACUGGAUUUUGCCUGUUUCUCAUGGUCUACCGGUUUAAUAAAAAUUUUCCUGGAUUUUGUAUAAUUUAUAAAAUUCUCUAAAACUGAGUAGGUUACCUAAAAAAAAAUGUACUGAAAUAGAAUAAGUAUGGAUAAUGCAUAAUGAAGAAUAUCUCAUUUAUAGAAAUCAACUUAAAACGUUUUUUGUUGUUCUAAAAUGUACAGUUUAUUUUUAUUCAGAACUCGCUUUUUAAAUUAAUUAAAAACUCUUUUAGCUAUCUUUGAUGAAGUAAAUGCCUAUUACAAUUCAAAAUUAUAAGUAAACAUAACAUUUCAAUCAUAACUGGAAAAUAUUGAAAUUUUUCUAAUAUGAUGGCUUUAAAAAAUCCUUAAAAUCUUUUCAUUAUCUUUGAAUUAAAUUCAUAUUAAUAUUCAAAAUUAUGAGUAAACAUGAUAAAUAACAUUCCAAAUUCACUUGAUGUCAAUUAUAUUUGGAAAAUAUUGCAGGCCUUUUACAAAUAUAAGUUUAAUUAAGUUUUUGUAUUUUGAUGACUAAAAAAAUACCUAAAAUUCCCCGCAUGGUCAAAUAUUUAGUAUAUUAUGCAAUUAUUAUUAUGAAAUUUAUAUUAUUCCAUGAAAUUUACUGGAUUUUUUUCCUAUCCAUAUUUGCAGCUGUGUAUAUAUGUUUAACUGGCUUGAAUUUGUAAAUAUGAGUUUCCCUCUCUUACUUUCACUCUUAUAUAUAUUGUCAUGGAGCAUAGCUCUUUUAAAAAGUGAUUAAAGGUGCUUUUUUCAUGGGGUGUUUUUAAAAAGUGCUAAAUUUUUCCUUUUCGAAAAUGAGAUUUCUUCCCUAACUGUGUUGAUUUUUGCUGCAUACAAUACCAAUGUAAAAGCAUGGUUUUUUGUUCUAUUCAACAUUUUCACAAAUCAUUCAACCACAAUCCAGUUCGGCGUACCGUCGGCCCGCAGCACCCCAAUCAUGUUUGAUGAAAUACUUGCGAGUUCGUAUGCGCGUCUAUUGAGCUGGGUUCGGUGAGUUCUUGCACUCUCAUGUGCAACUCUGCUGCAUUUGCAAGAUAUCCUCCAUUUCAGACUUCAUUUCCACCCUCUGAAAUUGAACCGAAAAAUCUUGAUCUUUUUAUCGUGGCUAAUAACAUCAAGAAAAGAAUUCUUUGUCAGAAACUAGUUAUUUUAUCAUGAUCGUGUAAAGUCUGAAAACUAUUUUGCAUUUUGUUAAUCUAUAUAGUGCUUAGAAAUAUUUUUUGAGUGCUUAAAAAGUACUUUAAAGGUGCUUAUUUUUUGUUGAGAGAUUUGGCUACGCACCUUGAUUGCCCUUUAAAAGGUAAAUCCUACUUUAAAAGGAUGUUAAAACAAUGAUCGUCUUGGCAAUGUAAAAAAAAAUCACUUUGUGUUCCUAUUAUAUUAACUAUUUCUUGUUUU